GGCAGUGUGGGAGAAUAAAAGCCUAUUAAUGCACUCCUAAGGAUUGAGGUUCUUGCCAGCAGAGCCAUCUGUCAAGAGAUUACAGAGAAGGAAAUUUCUGCAGGAAUCUUCCCCUGGGACGAGAUAAAGUGCCAAGAAAAGGUGUGUGGCAUCAGGAGUGAGGACAAACUCCGAGAGUCCUCUGCAGUGCUUAUCGCAGACAGAGAGGAAACCAUCCACCCACUGGCAGUCAGGGAAGAGGAAGAGAAGAGAGGGAAGUCUCUGGAUUGCUUUUGACCAGAGAAGUGAGGUCGUAUUGAAAAGAGUUUACAAAAACAAAUUCCUUAUAAGGUGCUGCAGCCCAUCCAUCUGCUGAAUGUUGCCAAGUAACAGCCAUCCAUGGAACAUGGAAAAAUGAAUUCACCCGGCCAGGCCCAAAUUGUCGACCCACAGAACAUGAGAUGCAGAAGCUCUAACCAAGGAUUCCUAGAGAGAAAGAGUAGAGCCAUGAGACGAAGGGAGCCUGGGUCCCUAAAUCACCAUGUCGGAGCUCUUCAGCGAAAAGCUGACGCUGAGCUGCUACGUGAGCAAGAGACACCUUGCCCAAUCUGAAACGAAGCCAAGCAAAGCAACAUCACCUUCUGGAAAGUGCAGAAACUGCAAUCAAGAUCAACAAAGAAAAGCACCCUUCCCAUAGAUUCAUCUCUUUGGCGUUUAAGUGUUUGGGCGAGUCUACAAAACUCAGAUUCCUCAUUUAACUAGAUGUUCCAGGUCACAGAGAUAUUCUACUAAGGCAAUUUUCAAAAGACCAUAAAACCACCACAUCAAUUUAUGCUUGCAGGCUAUAGUGCAGUAAUAUCAUCAUGGCUCACUGCAAUCUCGACUUCUCCAGCUCAAACAAUCCUCCCACCUCAGCCUCCCAAGCAGUUGGGACUACAGGCACGUGUCAUUACACCCAGUUACAGAAAGCUUUUCAUGGUUCACUGACUGAGGACAAUCAACCCCUUCAUAAUCCAUAACCCAAAGAUUGAACUGUCUGAGAACACCAGAGAAAGACUGCUCCUGCCAUCCACAUUGCAGCAAACCUUCAGGACCUUGAACCUUGGGUUCAUAGUCUUACAACUCAGAAGCAUCCCUCCACACUCUCAAAACUGGACAUCCUUGGGAACCCUUAAGGUAAAGCUAACCAGGGAAGAUUUUCUGCCCAGAAGAUGGCAUCCUUUUCCCCAAGAUCACAGAAGCUUUUUCCCAAGAUCACAGAUCAAGACUUCUCUAGUACCAUGAGACUCUUAUCUUUGAAUUUUUCCCCUUGCUAUGCCUCUAUAAACAAUAGAAGUAAAAAUGGAAUCUGUUGUGUGCACUCAUGGGGUAUACUUUUAUUUGUGAAGGAUGCUGCAGCCAUGCAGACUUAUACAUGGAUAACAGAUAUGGUUUGGCUCUGUGUCCCCACCCAAAACUCAUGUUGAAUUGUAAUCCCCAGUGUUUGUGAGGACUGGUGGGAGGUGAUUGGAUCAUGGUUGUGGUUUCUAAUGGUUUAACGUGAUCCCUUUAGUACUGUCUUGUGAUAGAGUUCUCAUGAGGUCUGGUUGUUUAAAAGUGUGUGGAACCUUCCUGUUCACUCUUUCUCCUGCUCUGACAAGUGAAGAUGUGACUGCUUUUCCUUCAACUUCUGCCAUGAUUGUAAAUUUCCUGAGGCCUCUUCAGCCAUGCUUCCUGUACAACCUGCAGAACUGUGAGUCAAUUAAACCACUUUUUUUUUAUAAA
rnacentral:lncRNA from 10 species